UACGGGAGGCAGCAGUGGGGAAUAUUGCACAAUGGGCGCAAGCCUGAUGCAGCCAUGCCGCGUGUAUGAAGAAGGCCUUCGGGUUGUAAAGUACUUUCAGCGGGGAGGAAGGCGAUGCGGUUAAUAACCGCGUCGAUUGACGUUACCCGCAGAAGAAGCACCGGCUAACUCCGUGCCAGCAGCCGCGGUAAUACGGAGGGUGCAAGCGUUAAUCGGAAUUACUGGGCGUAAAGCGCACGCAGGCGGUCUGUUAAGUCAGAUGUGAAAUCCCCGGGCUUAACCUGGGAACUGCAUUUUGAACUGGCAGGCUUGAGUCUUGUAGAGGGGGUAGAAUUCCAGGUGUAGCGGUGAAUGCGUAGAGAUCUGGAGGAAUACCGGUGGCGAAGGCGGCCCCUGGGACAAGACUGACGCUCAGGGUGCGAAAGCGUGGGGAGCAAACAGGGAUUAGAUACC
rnacentral:rRNA from 1 species